rnacentral:rRNA from 1 species
UACAGAGGUCCCAAGCGUUGUUCGGAAUUACUGGGCGUAAAGCGUGCGUAGGCGGCGGGGUAAGUCGGGUGUGAAAUCUCAGGGCUCAACCCUGAAAUUGCAUUCGAUACUGCUUCGCUUGAGCUCUGAAGAGGAGGUUGGAAUUUACGGUGUAGCAGUGAAAUGCGUAGAUAUCGUAAGGAAGGCCGGUGGCGAAAGCGAACCUCUGGGCAGCAGCUGACGCUAUGGCACGAAGGCUAGGGGAGCAAACGGG